rnacentral:rRNA from 1 species
UACGUAGGGGGCGAGCGUUGUCCGGAAUCAUUGGGCGUAAAGCGCGUGUAGGCGGUCCGGUAAGUCCGCUGUGAAAGUCGGGGGCUCAACCCUCGGAUGCCGGUGGAUACUGUCGGGCUUGAGUACGGAAGAGGCGAGUGGAACUCCUGGUGUAGCGGUGGAAUGCGCAGAUAUCAGGAAGAACACCAACGGCGAAGGCAGCUCGCUGGGACGGUACUGACGCUGAGACGCGAAAGCGUGGGGAGCGAACAGG